rnacentral:snRNA from 1 species
AUGCUUGCUUUGGCAGCACAAGUACUCAAAUUAAAAUGAUAAUGCAUAGAUUAACAUGGCCACUACACAAGAAUGACACAUAAAUUUGUGGUGUGCUGUAUGAAAAA